UUUGCGUUUGCGAUUGACGAGGCGACAGAUACAUGCGUACCUGUAUACUACACGAGUAAUGAGUGCCAUUUAUAUGCGUAUUAUAUUAUAUUAUUAUAUAGUAUAAUAGUUCACCGCGCAUAGCUCGUUUAUUGCGAACGAACGUCGUUUUCAAUAUCCAAAUCAAUAACAAGCGAUUACAUCAAAUUAACGAAUAAAAUUUAAUUUGCAGACUUUAUAUGCGUCGUGGAUAAACCAUGAAUUAGAUUCAUUGGUAUCCGUAACGAUUUUAAUAGUGAUGGAGACAGAAUGGGGUUCUGCAGAUUGAGUGAUUCGGCCAAUGAUUCUGGAAUCAUUAAAUUGUCUGUCUUGAACGUAUGUACACGGCAGUGGAGCAAAUAUGUUUAAAGUUGAUACGAACCCCGCAUAAGAUGAUGGACUGCAACACAUAUGCUGACAAGUGAUAACAACAUUAGUGACAGCAAAUUCCCGACGAUGCGAAAAACUAUUAAAAAUUGUUCAAUUAUAUUGUUCUUCGAUAUUCGCCAACGACCAUCGAAAUGAACGCUAUACACAAUAAUAUACACGUGUGUAAUAUUAUUAUGUGCAUUAUAUACGAUAUGUAGUUUCACGUCAAUUAUAAUUAUACGCGUAGGUACAUACUAUAUUAUACUGUUGUCGUAUCCUCAUAAUACAAUAUAUAUAUAUAUAUAUCUGUGUUGGUAAAAAAGUAAUUUGCGACGCGUACCCGUCGUA